rnacentral:rRNA from 1 species
CAAUAGCGUAUAUUAAAGUUGUUGCAGUUAAAAAGCUCGUAGUUGGAUUUGUGGCGUACGGUGUGUUCCGGGCACUUGUUGCCUGAGUAACCUGCUGUUGCCAUCCUUGGGUGGAACCUGUGUGGCAUUGGGUUGUCGUGCAGGGGAUGCCCAUCAUUUACUGUGAAAAAAUUAUAGUGUUCAAAGCAGGCUUAUGCCGUUGAAUAUAUUAGCAUGGAAUAAUGAGAUAGGACUUUUUUGCUAUUUUGUUGGUUUGCGCAAAGAGGUAAUGAUUAAUAGGGACAGUUGGGGGUAUUCGUAUUCCAUUGUCAGAGGUGAAAUUCUUGGAUUUUUGGAAGACGAACUACUGCGAAAGCAUUUACCAAGGAUGUUUUCAUUAA